CUGUAAGGGAACCCAAAGGCAGUGUUUGAAUCAAGCAGGGAAAUGAUUUUUUUCUGAGUACUUACCCGUUGAUUUUCCAUCAGAAGAACACGAUGCUGGGCUCUUAUAGGAUGUGUAACACAAUUCCAAAUGGACUAAAGUCCAGGACCCCAGCCCAUGGGAUGGUGCCACCCACACCUAGGAUGGAUCUUCAGUCUUCAACUAGACCUAGCAACUCGCUUACAGACACGUGCAAAGACACUUCUACAAUAAUAUCGCCACCUGGGGGUCAAGUAUUCAAUACUUGGAUCUGAAGAUCUGAAAAAGGUGACCAAAAUCUCUGCCUCUGGAUAUUUUAUAUAAAUAAAACCAUUUGGUAUAUAGCCUUAAGGAUUUGUCCUGUUCUGAAUGACUCAUGCUGCAGAAAUUAGAAAGGAGGAUGGGCAACAGCUAGUGACUAGCUUCUUACUAAGAGUUGGGAACCUUCUGUAUGACUUGGCUUCAUUAUGAUUGACAACUAAUGCCUGUAUUUGGCCUGGAGUCUCAGAUUCAGCAUACAUUUCUCCAUCUGUAAUCUGGAGAUGUGUUUUAAAAGUAUCCUUUCAGCAUAAGGGACUGUCCGUGGUUGGUUAAGAGACUUGAAGUCCAUUAAGCUACCGCUGCAUCAUUGAAACCAAUGUGCCUGGCUUAGGAGCCCAUGUACUUCAACAUAUCUAACAGUUUCUGGUGGUUUUGGGAGCUUCAGAGGUCAGCCUUUGGGAAUAACUGAUAUUCAGAAGAAUCUCAGUUUUUAAUCUAGCUUACCACUCCUUCAUCAUUUUCUUUUCAAAACAUUUUAAGUGUAUGGGUGUUUUGCCUCCAUGUAAGUAUAUGCACCAUAUGUGUGACCAGUCAGAGGACAGAAGGGAGAAUUGGAUCCCCUGCAUCAAGAGCCAUAAAUGAUUGUGAAACAUUUUGUAGGUGCCAGGAAUUGAACCUAAGUCCUCUGGAAGAGCAAGAAGUAUUCAACAAGUGCUCUUAGAUACUGGGCCAUCUUUCAAAUCCCUCAUCAUUUUCUUAGAAGUUAAUAAA